AUUGAACGCUGGCGGCAUGCUUUACACAUGCAAGUCGAACGGUAACAGGUUAAGCUGACGAGUGGCGAACGGGUGAGUAAUGCAUCGGAACGUGCCCGGUCGUGGGGGAUAACGCAGAGAAAGCUGCGCUAAUACCGCAUACGAUCUGAGGAUGAAAGCGGGGGACCGUAAGGCCUCGCGCGAUCGGAGCGGCCGAUGUCAGAUUAGGUAGGUGGUGGGGGAAAGGCUCACCAAGCCAACGAUCUGUAGCUGGUCUGAAAGGACGGCCAGCCACACUGGGACUGAGACACGGCCCAGACUCCUACGGGAGGCAGCAGUGGGGAAUUUUGGACAAUGGGCGAAAGCCUGAUCCAGCAAUGCCGCGUGCAGGAAGAAGGCCUUCGGGUUGUAAACUGCUUUUGUACGGAGCGAAAAGGUCUCCUCUAAUACAGGGGGCUCAUGACGGUACCGUAAGAAUAAGCACCGGCUAACUACGUGCCAGCAGCCGCCGUAA
rnacentral:rRNA from 1 species